rnacentral:rRNA from 1 species
CCUACGGGGGGCUGCAGUGGGGAAUAUUGGACAAUGGGGGGAACCCUGAUCCAGCCAUGCCGCGUGUGUGAAGAAGGCCCUCGGGUUGUAAAGCACUUUCAGUGAGGAAGAACGCCUGGUGGUUAAUACCCAUCAGGAAAGACAUCACUCACAGAAGAAGCACCGGCUAACUCCGUGCCAGCAGCCGCGGUAAUACGGAGGGUGCGAGCGUUAAUCGGAAUUACUGGGCGUAAAGCGCGCGUAGGUGGCUUGAUAAGCCGGUUGUGAAAGCCCCGGGCUCAACCUGGGAACGGCAUCCGGAACUGUCAAGCUAGAGUGCAGGAGAGGAAGGUAGAAUUCCCGGUGUAGUGGUGAAAUGCGUAGAGAUCGGGAGGAAUACCAGUGGCGAAGGCGGCCUUCUGGACUGACACUGACACUGAGGUGCGAAAGCGUGGGUAGCAAACAGGAUUAGAUACCCUGGUAGUC